rnacentral:lncRNA from 10 species
GGCUCAGCACCUGGCUUAAAGUUAUAAUACCAGGAUUUACAUUAUUCUUAGCCACAGGCAUAUUUUCCACCAGCUUUUAACAACCCACCACCUCCUUUUCCCCUUCCCUCCCACACAAUAACUGGGAUGACUUGUCUAGAUCUUAGGCAACAAUUCUCUUAGCACAUCAGCUCCUGGAAACAAAUGCACUUAACCAGAAAAACAGGGACAUCAACCAGCAAAGAUGCAUCCUCAUUUAAUAGAGCUUGAAAUUACUAUAAUCUGUAAAGUACAGCGAGAAGAAGAAGUUUCACCUGCCUGCACAUCUGUCGUUGACUCUCCAUCUGACUUGGAGGGACUCUGAGGGACCAACCUGAGCCUGAGAAGAGGCAAGAUUCCCCUUCAAGGACACACUGGGAACUUACGGACCUCUUUCUCCAUGGUGCAGAGCGCAGAGGCUACCUGAGAAUAUCCAGAGACUACAGAGGUCAUCAAGUUGACGCAUCAAUGUUUACAUGUGAACAAACAGACGCAUAAUAGCUCUUGAGCUUGCCAUUGGGAAGUGAAAAUCAACUGCUUGAAUAAAUGUAAGGACUCAGAACACCAGACAUGGGUGCUCCAAUCCACGUAGUGUUGAGGCAGUGAAGUUUGUGUUCCAGGAACUUCAGAACUCCUGAAUGUAUUGGUGUUGAUAAAAGGUGAUGAGAUGAAGUAGAAUGACCAUAAACUUAGAGGUAGACAUCACCUUGUGACUCAACAGCAGCCAAUAAGAUGGAAAUAAAGGCCAUGAAGUUAUCGGAUGGCAUCUACAAGGAAUACUUAGAUGAGGAGGUGACUCUGGUAGCAAUUGUUCUUUUGUCUUUCUCACCUUCCUUCUUGUCCUGUCUGGGAUGCUGAAGUGAUGGCUGGUAUACAGAUGCCCUGUUGUGAUGUUGAGAUAAACAUGAGAAUAAAAGUCGGCGAUUACAGAUGGCAGAGAAGAGAGAGAAAGAUAGGAUGUAGGUGGAUAUUGACGGAACUAAGUUUCUAUUGCACAAGUUCUACCACCAACCUCUGGACUUCAUGAUAUGUGAGGGAGAAAUAAACUCCUAUUUUAGAAGAGAUCUAUGUUACCUGCAACUGAACGGAAUGCUUAAUUGGCACAUCCUAUGUGCUCCAAACCUUCCUUAAUUUCUGUGUGUAAGGCAUACUUAGUCUUUACCCAUUAUUCUGUUCACAUUCAUUCACUUGAUCAGCCUCCCAACUCUAUGGUAAAGAGUUUACUACAGUUUACUCUAUUAGUAAGGGAGAUUCUGGAGCAAGCCCCACAAAUCAUAGAUUGAAUACCCAUUCAUUAAGAGAGAGAUUUAAAGAUACUUCUAUCCAAACACAUUUUAAAUUUCCAGCACCUUUGAGGUGGUGGAGGUUCAUGGUGGUUGAUAGGGUUUAAAUGACUUGUGAUUCAAGCUCCAUAUUACAAUGUAACAGUGCAAAAGUUCAUUUUUUUAAAUUUAUUUUACUUUAAGUUCUGGUAUACAUGUGUAGAACAUGCGGGUUUGUUACAUAGGUAUACAUGUGCCAUGGUGGUUUGCUGCACCUAUCAAACCGUCACCUAGGUUUUAAGAACCACAUGCAUUAGGUAUUUGACCUAAUGCUCUCCCUCAUGUUGCCCCCCAACUCCCUGACAGGGCCCAGUGUGUGAUGUUCCCCUCCCUGUGUCCAUGUGUUCUCAUUGUUCAACUCCCACUUAUGAGUGAGAACAUGUGGUGUUUGAUUUUCUGUUCCUGUGUUAGUUUGCUGAGAAUGAUGGCUUCCAGCUUCAUCCAUGUCCCUGCAAAGGACACGAACUCAUUCUUUUUUAUGGCUUCAUAAUAUUCCAUGAGUCUGGAUUUGGUUACAGAUAGAGCUGGACAAGCCUUAGCUAUAUCUAAUGGCUUUUGACAUGUUAUAUCAAUUUCUUACUGCUUUUGUAAAUGAAUAUAUUAAGAAGAAAAAAUUACAAAUGACCCUUUCUUCACAAACUUUUAGGGUAAUCAAGUUCAGUUAUUAAAAAAUGGAUGUUUGCAACAUUCAUAGUAAUUAUUUUCAGAAAAUUAAAAAUGAUUAAAAAUUAUAUUUUCAUCCCAUUCAGAUAUUAUAUAUUUAACUGUGAGAUAAUUCUCAGAGAUAAAUGUCAACUUUUAAAAAAUGCUAAAUAAAUUAAAUCAAAAUAUCCCCUCUAAAAUAAAUAAAUUAGCUCCGAUUAUUUCUUCUUUUUAAAUUUUUCCUUAUAGUUGUAAAAAUAAAGUGAACGUUUU